rnacentral:rRNA from 1 species
GGCGGACGGGUGAGUAAUGUCUGGGAAACUGCCUGAUGGAGGGGGAUAACUACUGGAAACGGUAGCUAAUACCGCAUAAUGUCGCAAGACCAAAGAGGGGGACCUUCGGGCCUCUUGCCAUCGGAUGUGCCCAGAUGGGAUUAGCUUGUUGGUGGGGUAACGGCUCACCAAGGCGACGAUCCCUAGCUGGUCUGAGAGGAUGACCAGCCACACUGGAACUGAGACACGGUCCAGACUCCUACGGGAGGCAGCAUG